UCCCGGUUAGAUCAGUUGGUAGAGCGCUUCACUGGAAAUGAAAAGGUCUCUGGUUUGAUACCAGGACCAAGCA
rfam:Ixodes scapularis strain Wikel colony gcontig_1108379860974, whole genome shotgun sequence.